rnacentral:rRNA from 2 species
GUCACGCUGUAAACGAUGUCGAUUUGGAGUUUGUUGCCUAGAGUGAUGGGCUCCGAAGCUAACGCGAUAAAUCGACCGCCUGGGGAGUACGGCCGCAAGGUUAAAACUCAAAUGAAUUGACGGGGGCCCGCACAAGCGGUGGAGCAUGUGGUUUAAUUCGAUGCAACGCGAAGAACCUUACCUGGUCUUGACAUCCAUAGAAUUCUGCAGAGAUGUGGGAGUGCCUUCGGGAACUAUGAGACAGGUGCUGCAUGGCUGUCGUCAGCUCGUGUUGUGAAAUGUUGGGUUAAGUCCCGCAACGAGCGCAACCCUUAUUCUUUGUUGCCAGCGAUUUGGUCGGGAACUCAAAGGAGACUGCCGUUGAUAAAGCGGAGGAAGGUGGGGACGACGUCAAGUCAUCAUGGCCCUUACGACCAGGGCUACACACGUGCUACAAUGGCGUAUACAAAGGGAAGCGAAGGUGCGAGCUGGAGCGGAUCUCAUAAAGUACGUCUAAGUUCGGAUUGGAGUCUGCAACUCGACUCCAUGAAGUCGGAAUCGCUAGUAAUCGUAGAUCAGAAUGCUACGGUGAAUACGUUCCCGGGCCUUGUACACACCGCCCGUCACACCAUGGGAGUGGGUUGCACCAGAAGUAGAUAGCUUAACCGCGAGGGGGGCGUUUACCACGGUGUGAUUCAUGACUGGGGUGAAGUCGUAACAAGGUAACCA